rnacentral:rRNA from 1 species
GACGAACGCUGGCGGCGUGCCUAAUACAUGCAAGUCGAGCGGACGGAUGGGAGCUUGCUCCCAGACCGUCAGCGGCGGACGGGUGAGUAACACGUGGGCAACCUGCCUGUAAGACUGGGAUAACUCCGGGAAACCGGGGCUAAUACCGGAUAACUCUUUCCCUCACAUGAGGGAAAGCUGAAAGAUGGCAUCUCGCUAUCACUUACAGAUGGGCCCGCGGUGCAUUAGCUAGUUGGUGAGGUAACGGCUCACCAAGGCGACGAUGCGUAGCCGACCUGAGAGGGUGAUCGGCCACACUGGGACUGAGACACGGCCCAGACUCCUACGGGAGGCAGCAGUAGGGAAUCUUCCGCAAUGGACGAAAGUCUGACGGAGCAACGCCGCGUGAGUGAUGAAGGUUUUCGGAUCGUAAAACUCUGUUGUCAGGGAAGAACAAGUACCGGAGUAACUGCCGGUACCUUGACGGUACCUGACCAGAAAGCCACGGCUAACUACGUG